UACGAAGGGUGCUAGCGUUGUUCGGAAUCACUGGGCGUAAAGCGCGCGUAGGCGGUGACACAAGUCAGGGGUGAAAUCCUAAGGCUCAACCUUAGAAUUGCCUUUGAAACUAGGUUGCUGGAGUGUCGGAGGGGAUAGCGGAAUUGCUAAUGUAGCGGUGAAAUGCGUAGAUAUUAGCAGGAACACCGGUGGCGUAGGCGGCUAUCUGGACGACAACUGACGCUGAGGCGCGAAAGCGUGGGGAUCAAACAGG
rnacentral:misc_RNA from 1 species